AUGCCUCCUGCUGACUGCUCCUGUGGCUCCUCCCACAGAGCCCGGUAUAAAGGCGAUCAAGGCCUGAGCCCGGCCUCUCAGUCUCCAGGAUGUAGUAUGGUGGUCACUCACUGUUUGUUCCUUCUUCCAGUCAAUAAAAGCCGAUAUCUCACCUUACGUCUCUGAUGACUUGUGAUGGAUUACCAUUCCCCCUCUGCACAGGUGAAGUGAUGGAUAUUUGUUCUCGCCAGAUAUCGCAGCAGAAAAUGAGGAAGUGUUUGAAAUCUCUUAGGAGCCCUCUCCGCUGCUAUUACAGCUACCCUUACUUAGAAUGUGAAAUUUUGCCUGUUGAAGGAUAAAGGAGUCAUAUUUUGUUCCAUCAUUUUCCUCUUGUGAAAUAAUUCUUUCGGGAAUAAGGAAUCUAUACCCACAUCUGUAAAGACACAAGAAGAAAUUUUGCACUGCUAAAAACUAUGGUGAUGGUUGAAAACUAGCAGCAAGG